CUACUACUCCCUCUGUCCGAAAAUACUUGUCAUCAAAAUGGAUAAAAAUGGAUGUAUCUAGAACUAAAAUACGUCUAGAUACGUCCCUUUUUAUUCAUUUUGAUGACAAGUAUUUCCGGACGGAGGGAGUAGUUA
rfam:Triticum aestivum genome assembly, contig: Triticum_aestivum_CS42_TGACv1_scaffold_271541_3DS